rnacentral:lncRNA from 1 species
CAACGAUUAGAUGACAGCCCUGAUUUGCAAAAAGAGGAACUUGGAGCCAUAGCUAAGUGUACAUGCUCAUAUCAGGUUUGGCGUGCCUUGAUCCACUGCAUUUAGAAUAAAUAAGUGACCGUGGUGCAAAUGCCAUAUAAGGAGCUCCACAUAUAGGAUAAUGGCCUUCGCGUUUAGAAUAAGAAGUGACCAUGGUGCAACUAUUUUAUAAGAAAUGCACAGCCAACAUCAUGUUUGCUUAGUUUAGAUUCCAUCAAUUCGCUCAGUUAGAGGCAGCGCAUUCUUUCUCGAAUCUACCAGAUUGCCCAGUCUUUGUCCGCAAACG